rnacentral:rRNA from 1 species
UCCGGUUGAUCCUGCCGGAGGUUACUGCUAUCGAGGUUCGACUAAGCCAUGCGAGUCGAAUGUAGCAAUACAUGGCGUACUGCUCAGUAACACGUGGACAACCUACCCUUGAGACGGGGAUAAACCCGGGAAACUGGGUAUAAUACCCGAUAGAUCUCGACUGCUGGAAUGCAUCGAGCUCCAAAGCUCCGGCGCUCAAGGAUGGGUCUGCGGCCUAUCAGGUAGUAGUGGGUGUAGCGUACCUACUAGCCUACGACGGGUACGGGUUGUGAGAGCAAGAGCCCGGAGAUGGAUUCUGAGACACGAAUCCAGGCCCUACGGGGUGCAGCAGGCGCGAAAACUUUACAAUGCUGGAAACAGCGAUAAGGGGACCUCGAGUGCCAGGUUACAAAUCUGGCUGUCGUGAUGCCUAAAAAGCAUUGCAUAGCAAGGGCCGGGCAAGACCGGUGCCAGCCGCCGCGGUAACACCGGCGGCUCGAGUGGUAACCGUUAUUAUUGGGUCUAAAGGGUCUGUAGCCGGCCGGAUAAGUCUCUUGGGAAAUCUGGCAGCUUAACUGUCAGGCUUUCAGGAGAUACUGUCUGGCUCGAGGCCGGGAGAGGUGAGAGGUACUUCAGGGGUAGGGGUGAAAUCUUGUAAUCCUAGAAGGACCACCAGUGGCGAAGGCGUCUCACCAGAACGGACCUGACGGCAAGGGACGAAAGCUAGGGGCACGAACCGGAUUAGAUACCCGGGUAGUCCUAGCCGUAAACGAUACUCGCUAGGUGUCGGCCACGGUGCGACCGUUGUCGGUGCCGUAGGGAAGCCGUGAAGCGAGCCACCUGGGAAGUACGGCCGCAAGGCUGAAACUUAAAGGAAUUGGCGGGGGAGCACCACAACGGGUGGAGCUUGC